rnacentral:rRNA from 1 species
AUUGAACGCUGGCGGCAGGCCUAACACAUGCAAGUCGAGCGAGCGGCGGACGGGUGAGUAAUGUAUGGGGAUCUGCCCGGUAGAGGGGGAUCACUACUGGAAACGGUGGCUAAUACCGCAUGCUAUCGCCUGAACCGAUAUUGGAUUAGCUAGUGGGUGAGGUAAAGGCUCACCAAGGCGACGAUCUCUAGCUGGUCUGAGAGGAUGAUCAGCCACACUGGGACUGAGACACGGCCCAGACUCCUACGGGAGGCAGCAGUGGGGAAGAUUGCACAAUGGGCGAAAGCCUGAUGCAGCCAUGCCGCGUGUAUGAAGAAGGCCUUCGGGUUGUAAAGUACUUUCGGCGGGGAGGCGUUACCCGCAGAAGAAGCACCGGCUAACUCCGUGCCAGCCGCCGCGGUAAUAC